AUUGAACGCUGGCGGCAGGCUUAACACAUGCAAGUCGAGCGGGGUGAUGGUGCUUGCACUAUCACUUAGCGGCGGACGGGUGAGUAAUGAUUAGGAAUCUGCCUAUUAGUGGGGGACAACAGCUCGAAAGGGAAGCUAAUACCGCAUACGUCCUACGGGUGAAAGCAGGGGAUCACUUGUGACCUUGGGCUAAUAGAUGAGCCUAAGUCGGAUUAGCUAGUUGGUGGGGUAAAGGCCUACCAAGGCGACGAGCUGUAGCGGGUCUGAGAGGAUGAUCCGCCACACUGGGCCUGAGACACGGCCCAGACUCCUACGGGAGGCAGCAGUGGGGAAUAUUGGACAAUGGGGGGAACCCUGAUCCAGCCAUGCCGCGUGUGUGGAGAAGGCCUUAUGGUUGUAAAGCACUUUAAGCGAGGAGGAGGCUCUUUUGGUUAAUACCCAAGAUGAGUGGACGUUACUCGCAGAAUAAGCACCGGCUAACUCUGUGCCAGCCGCCGCCGUAA
rnacentral:rRNA from 1 species